CAUGGGCGCAGCCUGAUGCAGCCAUGCCGCGUGUGUGAAGAAGGCCUUAGGGUUGUAAAGCACUUUCAGCGAGGAGGAAGGCAUCAUACUUAAUACGUGUGGUGAUUGACGUUACUCGCAGAAGAAGCACCGGCUAACUCCGUGCCAGCAGCCGCGGUAAUACGA
rnacentral:rRNA from 1 species